GUACAGUGGAAACUGAAAAAACAGCUAGAUGCAUUGAUGUCAUUUUCUCCUUUCUUCAUUUCAUGUUUAUUGACUUAAUUCUUUCUAUGAAAUAGGACAUUUGCCAAUGAUCAGUGGUGUUCUCUCAACACUUAUAAUUCUCUUAGUUGUGGUUGUAGCAGCAAUCUGUGCUCAACGGAAAAAGCAAACCAGCAAAACAAAAGAGGAAGAAAAUGAUCAGGAAGAAAUCUUUGCUGAUCUCAGGGUCGUGAAACGGCAAGCGAAACAACUGGAGAAAAGAGCGGAGAGUUUGGCCAAGUCAAGUACUCAAAGCGUCCUCGGCAGACUGAACCAACAGGAGAUGAUUGUUUGUAUGUUAACGUCCAUAAAUUCAGGUGAUUUAAGUGUUCAGUGCUUCUACACAGACUGCAUCACUGAAGAUGCAUGGAGAGAGGAGCUGAUGUCAAAAUGUCUAAAGGUCUUUCAU
ensembl:lncRNA